rnacentral:lncRNA from 1 species
UAAAUGCCACAGCUUGAUAAGAUUAGCCACUGUGUUUAUGUCUCUGGGACUCCAAAGUAGCUAUUAGCAGAAUAACCACAUCCUUUUCCAGGGAGAAGCAGGAAAAACAGCCAGAAGUGAAGGAAAGAUGGAGCCAAGGUGGAUGCUCCGUGCUGCUGACAUCAUGAGCAGAGCUGCCCCAGCCCUGGGGACGUCCCUCUGCCCUCAGCACCGCAGCAGCAGCGUGGGCUUUGCUGGUUCUCCUGGCCCUUUUCUUCCUUACCCAGGAAAACAGCUCAGGCCGUGGCUCAGAAAGAGCCUCUCGUUGCCUCCCAAUUAAUUGCGCAGCCGAGUCUGUGCUCUUUGAUGUCACUGCUGUGAGCGCUGAUAAAAUUUGAGGAGCUUUAGAGCAUGGAAGUUGCCGCAGACAGUUUUUCUUGUUGCUUGUGUGUCAAUACCCUAUCGAGUCAGCAAUUAUCCUAAACACUUACUGCAAGCCAAUGCAAAAUAAAG